rnacentral:rRNA from 1 species
CAUUCAGGUCAUAACACCCUGAAUGUCCAGUCUCCUCUGAUCUCAGAAGUUAAGCAGGGAUGGGUCUGGUUAGUACUUGGAUGGGGGUGGGGUUCUUAUCUUAAUGA